AUUGAACGCUGGCGGCAGGCUUAACACAUGCAAGUCGAACGGUAACAUGAAGAAGCUUGCUUCUUUGAUGACGAGUGGCGGACGGGUGAGUAAUGCUUGGGAAUCUAGCUUAUGGAGGGGGAUAACUACGGGAAACUGUAGCUAAUACCGCGUAGAAUCGAGAGAUGAAAGUGUGGGACCUUCGGGCCACAUGCCAUAGGAUGAGCCCAAGUGGGAUUAGGUAGUUGGUGAGGUAAAGGCUCACCAAGCCGACGAUCUCUAGCUGGUCUGAGAGGAUGACCAGCCACACUGGGACUGAGACACGGCCCAGACUCCUACAGGAGGCAGCAGUGGGGAAUAUUGCGCAAUGGGGGCAACCCUGACGCAGCCAUGCCGCGUGAAUGAAGAAGGCCUUCGGGUUGUAAAGUUCUUUCGGUAGCGAGGAAGGCAUUUAGUUUAAUAGACUAAGUGAUUGACGUAACUACAGAA
rnacentral:rRNA from 1 species